rnacentral:SRP_RNA from 10 species
GGCGGGGGCGGGGGGGUAGGCGUCUUGUUUACACUGCCGCAGUCGCCGUUAGGCUGUGGGCAAGGACUCACUGAAUG